GUGAAUUUAACAUGAGGGUGUCCUUCGCUUCGGCAAGACCCUUCUGUAAUCCACAUCCUAACACCUGUGAACCGUAAGGCGUACUUUGCAAGAAGUCGUCUGUCCCUUUUAUAAACAAUCAAGUUAAAACAAACGUAGCCUUAUUAUAACGUAAUA
rnacentral:misc_RNA from 1 species